rnacentral:rRNA from 1 species
UAGGGAAUCUUCCGCAAUGGACGAAAGUCUGACGGAGCAACGCCGCGUGAGUGAAGAAGGAUUUCGGUUCGUAAAACUCUGUUGUUAGGGAAGAAAAAAUGUAUAGUAACUAUAUACAAAAGAGACGGUACCUAACCAGAAAGCCACGGCUAACUACGUGCCAGCAGCCGCGGUAAUACGUAGGUGGCAAGCGUUGUCCGGAAUUAUUGGGCGUAAAGCGCGCGCAGGUGGUUUAGAAAGUGUGAUGUGAAAGCCCACGGCUCAACCGUGGAGGGUCAUUGGAAACUAAUAAACUUGAGUGCAGGAGAGAAAAGUGGAAUUCCUAGCGUAGCGGUGAAAUGCGUAGAGAUUAGGAGGAACACCGGUGGCGAAAGCGGCUUUUUGGCCUGCAACUGACACUGAGGAGCGAAAGCGUGGGGAGCAAACAGG